CGCUAGUAAUCGCGAAUCAGAAUGUCGCGGUGAAUACGUUCCCGGGUCUUGUACACACCGCCCGUCACACCAUGGGAGUCAGUAAUGCCCGAAGUCAGUGACCCAACCGUAAGGAGGGAGCUGCCGAAGGCAGGACCGAUAACUGGGGUGAAGUCGUAACAAGGUAGCCGUAUCGGAAGGUGCGGCUGGAUCACCUCCUUCUAAGGAA
rnacentral:rRNA from 1 species